UGGACCGGCUAUCCGAAAGGAUAGUGCUGUGAGAUCGGAUAACCGAGUAAAGUUCUAAAUAUAUAAUUGAUGAUGACAAUAUAUAUAUUAUGUCUUGACCAAUUACGUGCCAGCAGUCGCGGCAAUACGUUAAGAGACUAGUGUUAUUCAUCUUUAAUAGGUUUAAAGGGUACCCAGACAGCAAACGUCGUCUUUUCAAAAAGGGAACGACUUAGCUAGAGUUUUAUGUGAGGAGGUCGUACUCGUGAGUGGAGAGAUGAAAUUCUGUGAUACCUAGGGGACGGAUAAAGGCGAAGGCAGCCUCUUAUGUAAAAACUGACGUUGGAGGACGAAGGCACAGAUAACGAACAGGAUUAGGGACCCUAGUAGUCUUUGCAGACAAUGAUGAAUGCCAUAGGUUAGGUUUUUACUUGGUCUAUAAAUGAAAGUGUAAGCAUUUCACCUCAAGAGUAGUGCGGCAACGCAGGAACUGAAAUCACUAGACCGUUUCUGACACCAGUAGUGAAGUAUGUUGUAUAACUCGUCAUUCCACGAAGAAUCUUACCACAAUUUGAAUAGAAUUAUAAGCUAGUUAAGUACUUAUAUGCUUAAUAAAAAAGGUAUUCGCUUAACUUCUAAUUUUAAAUGGCUUCACUUGCCUGCUUAAAUCUAGAAGUUAAAUAACUAAAAAAGAAAAAACGUAAGCCUACGCGGUUUCACCGCGUAGCAGUUAUUGUACUGCUAAUUCAUACAAGCGUUGCACGGCUGUUUCCAGUUAAUGUUGUGAAACUGUGGCCUGUGCCAUGGAAUUAACGUAAACCU
rnacentral:rRNA from 1 species